rnacentral:rRNA from 1 species
GAUGAACGCUGGCGGCGUGCUUAACACAUGCAAGUCGAACGAAGCAAUAUUACAGAAGCCUUCGGGUGGAAGAAAUAUUGACUGAGCGGCGGACGGGUGAGUAACGCGGGGGUAACCUGCCUCAUACAGGGGGAUAACAGUAAGAAAUGGCUGCUAAUACCGCAUAAGCGCACGAUAUCGAAUGGUCUAGUGUGAAAAGCUCCGGCAGUAUGAGAUGGACCCGCGUCUGAUUAGCUAGUUGGUAAGGUAAGGGCUUACCAAGGCGACGAUCAGCAGCCGACCUGAGAGGGUGACCGGCCACAUUGGGACUGAGACACGGCCCAAACUCCUACGGGAGGCAGCAGUGGGGGAUAUUGCACAAUGGGGGAAACCCUGAUGCAGCGACGCCGCGUGAGUGAAGACGGCCUUCGGGUUGUAAAGCCCUGUUGACGAAGGAAGUGACGGUACCUGAAGAAUAAGCUCCGGCUAACUACGUGCCAGCAGCC